GGGUUGUGAGGUUAAGCGACUAAGCGUACACGGUGGAUGCCCUGGCAGUCAGAGGCGAUGAAGGACGUGCUAAUCUGCGAUAAGCGUCGGUGAGGUGAUAUGAACCGUUAUAACCGGCGAUUUCCGAAUGGGGAAACCCAGUGUGUUUCGACACACUAUCAUUAACUGAAUCCAUAGGUUAAUGAGGCGAACCGGGGGAACUGAAACAUCUAAGUACCCCGAGGAAAAGAAAUCAACCGAGAUUCCCCCAGUAGCGGCGAGCGAACGGGGAGGAGCCCAGAGCCUGAAUCAGUGUGUGUGUUAGUGGAAGCGUCUGGAAAGGCGUGCGAUACAGGGUGACAGCCCCGUACACAAAAAUGCACAUAUUGUGAGCUCGAUGAGUAGGGCGGGACACGUGGUAUCCUGUCUGAAUAUGGGGGGACCAUCCUCCAAGGCUAAAUACUCCUGACUGACCGAUAGUGAACCAGUACCGUGAGGGAAAGGCGAAAAGAACCCCGGCGAGGGGAGUGAAAAAGAACCUGAAACCGUGUACGUACAAGCAGUGGGAGCCUCUUAAUGGGGUGACUGCGUACCUUUUGUAUAAUGGGUCAGCGACUUAUAUUCUGUAGCAAGGUUAACCGAAUAGGGGAGCCGAAGGGAAACCGAGUCUUAACUGGGCGUUAAGUUGCAGGGUAUAGACCCGAAACCCGGUGAUCUAGCCAUGGGCAGGUUGAAGGUUGGGUAACACUAACUGGAGGACCGAACCGACUAAUGUUGAAAAAUUAGCGGAUGACUUGUGGCUGGGGGUGAAAGGCCAAUCAAACCGGGAGAUAGCUGGUUCUCCCCGAAAGCUAUUUAGGUAGCGCCUCGUGAAUUCAUCUCCGGGGGUAGAGCACUGUUUCGGCAAGGGGGUCAUCCCGACUUACCAACCCGAUGCAAACUGCGAAUACCGGAGAAUGUUAUCACGGGAGACACACGGCGGGUGCUAACGUCCGUCGUGAAGAGGGAAACAACCCAGACCGCCAGCUAAGGUCCCAAAGUCAUGGUUAAGUGGGAAACGAUGUGGGAAGGCCCAGACAGCCAGGAUGUUGGCUUAGAAGCAGCCAUCAUUUAAAGAAAGCGUAAUAGCUCACUGGUCGAGUCGGCCUGCGCGGAAGAUGUAACGGGGCUAAACCAUGCACCGAAGCUGCGGCAGCGACACUAUGUGUUGUUGGGUAGGGGAGCGUUCUGUAAGCCUGUGAAGGUGGCCUGUGAGGGUUGCUGGAGGUAUCAGAAG
rnacentral:rRNA from 1 species